AUUGAACGCUGGCGGCAGGCCUAACACAUGCAAGUCGAACGGUAACAGGAAGAAGCUUGCUUCUUUGCUGACGAGUGGCGGACGGGUGAGUAAUGUCUGGGAAACUGCCUGAUGGAGGGGGAUAACUACUGGAAACGGUAGCUAAUACCGCAUAACGUCGCAAGACCAAAGAGGGGGACCUUCGGUCCUCUUGCCAUCGGGUGUGCCCAGGUGGGAUUGGCUAGUAGGUGGGGUAACGGCUCACCUAGGCGGCCAUCCCUAGCUGGUGUGAGAGGAUGACCAGCCACACUGGAAGUGAGACACGGUCCAGACUCCUACGGGAGGCAGCAGUGGGGAAUAUGGCACAAUGGGCGCAAGCCUGAUGCAGCCAUGGCGCGUGUAUGAAGAAGGCCUUCGGGUUGUAAAGUACUUUCAGCGGGGAGGAAGGGAGUAAAGUUAAUACCUUUACUCAUUGACGUUAACCGCAGAAGAAGCACCGGCUAACUCCGUG
rnacentral:rRNA from 1 species